rnacentral:rRNA from 1 species
CCUACGGGAGGCAGCAGUGAGGAAUAUUGGUCAAUGGCCGGAAGGCUGAACCAGCCAAGCCGCGUGAAGGACGAAGGUGCCAAGCAUUGUAAACUUCUUUUGUCAAGGGACAAAAUCAGGCUCGAGAGCCUGACCGAGGGUACUUGAAGAAAAAGCAUCGGCUAACUCCGUGCCAGCAGCCGCGGUAAUACGGAGGAUGCGAGCGUUAUCCGGAUUUAUUGGGUUUAAAGGGUGCGUAGGCGGGCUGUUAAGUCAGCGGGAAAAGCCCGGGGCUCAACCCCGGCGAGCCGUUGAGACUGGCUGUCUUGAGAUGUCGAGAGGUAUGCGGAAUGCGCAGUGUAGCGGUGAAAUGCUUAGAUAUUGCGCAGAACUCCGAUUGCGAAGGCAGCAUACCGGCGGCGAUCUGACGCUGAGGCACGAAAGCGUGGGUAUCGAACAGGAUUAGAUACCCCUGUAGUC